GAUGAACGCUGGCGGCGUGCCUAAUACAUGCAAGUCGAACGCACAGCGAAAGGUGCUUGCACCUUUCAAGUGAGUGGCGAACGGGUGAGUAACACGUGGAUAACCUACCUCAAGGUUGGGGAUAACAUUUGGAAACAGAUGCUAAUACCGAAUAAAACUUCGUAUCGCAUGAUACAAGGUUAAAAGGCGCUACGGCGUCACCUAGAGAUGGAUCCGCGGUGCAUUAGUUAGUUGGUGGGUAAAGGCUACAGACAAUGAUGCAUAGCCGAGUUGAGAGACUGAUCGGCCACAUUGGGACUGAGACACGG
rnacentral:rRNA from 1 species